AUGCAAACACGGGUUAAUUUACAAACAAAUCCAUGUGAGUGCGGUGUGGUAUGUGCCCUACAAUGCUACGGGAGGACAGAGCAGGGUGUGCUGUGCUUUAUUUUACACCUUAGAAGAGCAGCAGCAACAGCACAAAUCUCAGGUCGUAAUUCCUGCAGCAGCCCGUAUCGUGUCGGUGCCGAAUUUUCCAAUGCACGUCUUACUCCUGCUGCCGCUCCUGAAGCGCAUUUAUUAAUUUCUACUGUAAAUACUGCAGAUCUCGGUGUGAGGAUUCAUCGCAUCGCGUGCACCCGAGAGACCUGUGAUGUUUGCCCUUUGGACUUGGGAAAAAAUUCUAUAGGAAUCAUAUCGUUAAAUAAUUCAGAGUGUAAUCGUGUAUUUUUUAUUUUUUAUUUUUUUUUCUUUGGGGGGGGGGGGGGGCCGGGGGGGGGGGGGGGAGGGGGGAAAAUCCUAAUCCUCGCGUUACACGGGUUACACGGGCGAACAGCCGGGGAAGACUUUGCCUCCCCCGGUCCAAGGGGUAAAGCGUGGUUUCCCCACUCCGGGUGCGAGGUCAAUAAAAAUCGAGGACAAAUCGGUGUUUUUUUAUUCACGGGGCGUUUCGCCGCCCCCGGUGAACGUCGGCGCACCCUACCGCGGGCGCGCAGGAGAGAAAGGGAGGGAGGGAGAGGGGAGGGCGAGGGUAUGGAGGCUAUAAAGCACGGCGGAGCCUGCUGCCCGCAGCAUCCCCCGCGCACACGCGGAGGGCAGCGCGCAAGGAGCCGUCCCGGUGUCAAUACCUGCGGGGCGGAGAGAGGCAAAGGCAGAAGCUGCCCGUGCGAUCCAUCUCACGGCGGCUCCCGGCACCCGCAGAGGCCGGGCCCUGGCAGCAAAGUGCCUCCCUCCCCGCCGAGACAGAAGAGAAGCGCGGGCAGGGAGGCCAACCCACCCCCACUCCAAAAAAAAAAAAAAAAAAAAAAAGACCUGAAAACGCUUUUAUCUGUCCUUAGAGAGGGCCGGCGGACGGCAGAGCGGCCUGCGCCGGCCGGCAGGAAGGUGAGGGCGGCGGGCGGAGGCUGCGCUGGAUGGAGGCUGCGCCGGAUGGAGGCUGCGCCGGAUGGAGGCCGCCGCCGGGCUGAUGCAGAGCAGAGGUUUUCGCCUGGCAUCCUCAGCACCUUGGCCUCCCGCGGCACGGGACCUCUGACCCCGGGCCACGUUUCGGCGCCGGGAGCCCCCCCUUUUUCUCCUCCUCUCACGCCGGGGGCGGCAGCAAGCCGGCAGGAGCGCGCCUGCCUCUCGCCAGCCCCGAGACACCGAGGAUUUUCCCCCUAA
rnacentral:lncRNA from 1 species